CGCGGUAUCUUAGCGGCGGACGGGUGAGUAACACGUGGGUAACCUGCCUGUAAGACUGGGAUAACUCCGGGAAACCGGAGCUAAUACCGGAUAGUUCCUUGAACCGCAUGGUUCAAGGAUGAAAGACGGUUUCGGCUGUCACUUACAGAUGGACCCGCGGCGCAUUAGCUAGUUGGUGAGGUAACGGCUCACCAAGGCGACGAUGCGUAGCCGACCUGAGAGGGUGAUCGGCCACACUGGGACUGAGACACGGCCCAGACUCCUACGGGAGGCAGCAGUAGGGAAUCUUCCGCAAUGGACGAAAGUCUGACGGAGCAACGCCGCGUGAGUGAUGAAGGUUUUCGGAUCGUAAAGCUCUGUUGUUAGGGAAGAACAAGUGCAAGAGUAACUGCUUGCACCUUGACGGUACCUAACCAGAAAGCCACGGCUAACUACGUGCCAGCAGCCGCGGUAAUACGUAGGUGGCAAGCGUUGUCCGGAAUUAUUGGGCGUAAAGGGCUCGCAGGCGGUUUCUUAAGUCUGAUGUGAAAGCCCCCGGCUCAACCGGGGAGGGUCAUUGGAAACUGGGAAACUUGAGUGCAGAAGAGGAGAGUGGAAUUCCACGUGUAGCGGUGAAAUGCGUAGAGAUGUGGAGGAACACCAGUGGCGAAGGCGACUCUCUGGUCUGUAACUGACGCUGAGGAGCGAAAGCGUGGGGAGCGAACAGGAUUAGAUACCCUGGUAGUCCACGCCGUAAACGAUGAGUGCUAAGUGUUAGGGGGUUUCCGCCCCUUAGUGCUGCAGCUAACGCAUUAAGCACUCCGCCUGGGGAGUACGGCGCAAGACUGAAACUCAAAGGAUUGACGGGGGCCGCACAAGCGUGGACAUGGGUUAUUCGACA
rnacentral:rRNA from 1 species